CGUGCCGGGGACCUCCGCCAGUCCGCGAGUUUCGCGCACUGGCUCGUUUGUG
rnacentral:sRNA from 1 species